GCUUCCGUAGCUCAACGGAUAGAGCAUUCGUCUUCGGAACGAAGAAUGCAGGUUCAAUCCCUGCCGGGAGCA
rnacentral:tRNA from 5 species